rnacentral:rRNA from 1 species
UGCCACGCUGAUGCGAUUUCGGUCAAAUCAUGUGGCAUUCGAGUGGCGGACGGGUGAGUAACGCGUGGGUAACCUGCCUUACACAGGGGGAUAACACCUGGAAACAGGUGCUAAUACCGCAUAAGCGCACAGGGCCGCAUGGCCCGGUGUGAAAAACUCCGGUGGUGUAAGAUGGACCCGCGUCUGAUUAGCUUGUUGGCGGGGUAGGGGCCCACCAAGGCGACGAUCAGUAGCCGGCCUGAGAGGGUGGACGGCCACAUUGGGACUGAGACACGGCCCAAACUCCUACGGGAGGCAGCAGUGGGGGAUAUUGGACAAUGGGGGAAACCCUGAUCCAGCGACGCCGCGUGAGUGAAGAAGUAUUUCGGUAUGUAAAGCUCUGUCAGCAGGGAAGAAAGAAAUGACGGUACCUGACCAAGAAGCCCCGGCUAACUACGUGCCAGCAGCCGCGGUAAUACGUAGGGGGCAAGCGUUAUCCGGAAUUACUGGGUGUAAAGGGAGCGUAGACGGUGAUGCAAGUCUGGAGUGAAAGGCGGGGGCCCAACCCCCGGACUGCUCUGGAAACUGUGUAACUUGAGUGCAGGAGAGGUAAGCGGAAUUCCUAGUGUAGCGGUGAAAUGCGUAGAUAUUAGGAGGAACACCAGUGGCGAAGGCGGCUUACUGGACUGUAACUGACGUUGAGGCUCGAAAGCGUGGGGAGCAAACAGGAUUAGAUACCCUGGUAGUCCACGCCGUAAACGAUGAUUACUAGGUGUCGGUGG